rnacentral:rRNA from 1 species
UACGAAGGGUGCAAGCGUUACUCGGAAUUACUGGGCGUAAAGCGUGCGUAGGUGGUGAGUUAAGUCUGUCGUGAAAGCCCCGGGCUCAACCUGGGAAUGGCGAUGGAUACUGGCUCGCUAGAGUGCGGUAGAGGAGAGUGGAAUUCCCGGUGUAGCAGUGAAAUGCGUAGAGAUCGGGAGGAACAUCAGUUGCGAAGGCGGCUCUCUGGACCAACACUGACACUGAGGCACGAAAGCGUGGGGAGCAAGCAGG